CUCGUAGGCGGUUUGUCGCGUCUGCUGUGAAAUCCGGAGGCUCAACCUCCGGCCUGCAGUGGGUACGGGCAGACUAGAGUGCGGUAGGGGAGAUUGGAAUUCCUGGUGUAGCGGUGGAAUGCGCAGAUAUCAGGAGGAACACCAAUGGCGAAGGCAGAUCUCUGGGCCGUAAUUGACGCUGAGGAGCGAAAGCAGUGGGGAGCGAACA
rnacentral:rRNA from 1 species